UACAGAGGAGCCAAGCGUUGUCCGGAUUGACUGGGCGUAAAGCGCACGCAGGCGGCCGUGCGCGUGGGGUGUGAAAUCUGGCCGCUUAACGGCCAGGCGCCAUCCCAUACGGCACGACUGGAGGGCUGCAGAGGUCGAUGGAAUUGCCGGUGUAGUGGUGAAAUGCGUAGAGAUCGGCAGGAACACCCAGGGGGAAACCAGUCGACUGGGCAGCACCUGACGCUGAGGUGCGAGAGCGUGGGGAGCGAACCGG
rnacentral:rRNA from 1 species